rnacentral:rRNA from 1 species
GUAGGUGGCAAGCGUUGUCCGGAAUUAUUGGGCGUAAAGCGCGCGCAGGCGGUUCUUUAAGUCUGAUGCGAAAGCCCACGGCUCAACCGUGGAGGGUCAUUGGAAACUGGAGAACUUGAGUACAGAAGAGGAAAGCGGAAUUCCACGUGUAGCGGUGAAAUGCGUAGAGAUGUGGAGGAACACCAGUGGCGAAGGCGGCUUUCUGGUCUGUAACUGACGCUGAGGCGCGAAAGCGUGGGGGGAGCAAACAGGAUUAGAUACCCUGGUAGUCCACGCCGUAAACGAUGAGUGCUAAGUGUUAGGGGGUUUCCGCCCCUUAGUGCUGCAGCUAACGCAUUAAGCACUCCGCCUGGGAGUACGGCCGCAAGGCUG